UACGGAGGGGACUAGCGUUGUUCGGAAUUACUGGGCGUAAAGCGCACGUAGGCGGAUUUGUAAGUCAGGGGUGAAAUCCCGGGGCUCAACCUCGGAACUGCCUUUGAUACUGCAAAUCUCGAGUCCGGAAGAGGUGAGUGGAAUUCCUGGUGUAGCGGUGAAAUGCGCAGAUAUCAGGAGGAACACCAAUGGCGAAGGCAGCUCGCUGGGACGGUAUUGACGCUGAGACGCGAAAGCGUGGGGAGCAAACAGG
rnacentral:rRNA from 1 species